rnacentral:rRNA from 1 species
GACGAACGCUGGCGGCGUGCUUAACACAUGCAAGUCGAACGGAAAGGCCCUGCUUUUGUGGGGUGCUCGAGUGGCGAACGGGUGAGUAACACGUGAGUAACCUGCCCUUGACUUUGGGAUAACUUCAGGAAACUGGGGCUAAUACCGGAUAGGAGCUCCUGCUGCAUGGUGGGGGUUGGAAAGUUUCGGCGGUUGGGGAUGGACUCGCGGCUUAUCAGCUUGUUGGUGGGGUAGUGGCUUACCAAGGCUUUGACGGGUAGCCGGCCUGAGAGGGUGACCGGCCACAUUGGGACUGAGAUACGGCCCAGACUCCUACGGGAGGCAGCAGUGGGGAAUAUUGCACAAUGGGCGGAAGCCUGAUGCAGCAACGCCGCGUGCGGGAUGACGGCCUUCGGGUUGUAAACCGCUUUCGCCUGUGACGAAGCGUGAGUGACGGUAAUGGGUAAAGAAGCACCGGCUAACUA